GAUGAACGCUGGCGGCGUGCCUAAUACAUGCAAGUCGAGCGAACAGACGAGGAGCUUGCUCCUCUGACGUUAGCGGCGGACGGGUGAGUAACACGUGGAUAACCUACCUAUAAGACUGGGAUAACUUCGGGAAACCGGAUCUAAUACCGGAUAAUAUAUUGAACCGCAUGGUUCAAUAGUGAAAGACGGUUUUGCUGUCACUUAUAGAUGGAUCCGCGCCGCAUUAGUUAGUUGGUAAGGUAACGGCUUACCAAGGCAACGAUGCGUAGCCGACCUGAGAGGGUGAUCGGACAGACUGGAACUGAGACACAGUCCAGACUCCUACGGGAGGAAGCAGUAGGGAAUCUUACGCGAUGGGCGAAAGCCUGACGGAGCAACGCCGCGUGAGUGAUGAAGGUCUUCGGAUCGUAAAACUCUGUUAUUAGGGAAGAACAAAUGUGUAAGUAACUAUGAACGUCUUGACGGUACCUAAUCAGAAAGCCACGGCUAACUACGUG
rnacentral:rRNA from 1 species